ACGGCGCACGGGUGCGUAAACGGGGGCAAUCUGCCCUUCGAUGGGGAAUAACCCCGGGAAACCGGGGCUAAUUCCGCAUAAUAUUCCGAUGACUAACGUCAAUGGACUCAAAGCCGUAAGGCGUCGAAGGAGGAGCCUGCGCACGAUUAGCUAGUUGGUGAGGUAACGGCUCACCAAGGCUAUGAUCGUUAGCUGGUCUGAGAGGAUGGCCAGCCACACUGGAACUGAGACACGGUCCAGACUCCUACGGGAGGCAGCAGUGGGGAAUCUUGCACAAUGGGCGAAAGCCUGAUGCAGCGACGCCGCGUGGGGGAUGAAGCUUUUCGGAGUGUAAACCCCUUUCGACCCGGACGAAUGCCCCGCAAGGGGACUGACGGUACGGGUAUAAGAAGCCCCGGCUAACUACGUGCCAGCAGCCGCGGUAAGACGUAGGGGGCCAGCGUUGCUCGGAAUUACUGGGUGUAAAGGGUUCGUAGGCGGUGUGGCAAGUCGGGAGUGAAAUCUCUGGGCUCAACCCAGAGGCUGCUUCCGA
rnacentral:rRNA from 1 species